AGCAGGGCCGUCAACGCUCAACUUGUUACUAUGAGAUGUAUCCAAAAUGACAGCUGUCACCUGUCUUUCAACAAAUUCUUAACGGAGAUAUUCCGGGUUCAACAUUUUGAUGGCAAAAGUCCCCUAAAUACUAUUAAACUUUGGUUUGUUAUAUCAAGAGAUUGCCAUAAGAGAAAUGGAAUACAUUCAUUUUUCAUCCUCGGCCCAUCUUGGAAAUUAUUAAGCCGUCAAAAGGAACUUGUUUGGAGCUGGCUAUUGCAACGCCCAGUCUAGCGCCCUAGAAUAAGAUCCUUAAAUGCUGAAACUGGAAAUGAGAUUGCGAAACGAGUUUGAUGUAGAAUGUAUCGUUUUUGAUAAAAAAAAAGAAAGGUACAGCUUUAUGAAAAUGUGGUACCAAAACAUAAUUUGGUUUAAACCUAUGUUUCUUAACUUUUGGCUUGCAGACUGUAUUCACCUGAAGCGAAGAACGGUAGGGUUCUCAAAUGUGUUAAUUAACUAUAAUACAUACAUAUAAAUAAAUGAAAAAA
rnacentral:sRNA from 1 species